rnacentral:misc_RNA from 1 species
GAUGAAGAACGUAGCGAAAUGCGAUAAGUAAUGUGAAUUGCAGAAUUCAGUGAAUCAUCGAAUCUUUGAACGCACAUUGCGCCCGCCAGUAUUCUGGCGGGCAUGCCUGUUCGAGCGUCAUUUCAACCAUCAAGCCCCAGGCUUGUGUUGGAGCCCUGCGGCUGCCGCAGCCUCCCAAAACCAGUGGCGGGCUCGCUAUCACACCGAGUGCAGUAGUUUACUCUUCGCUCAGGGCGUGUGGCGGGUGCUAGCCGUGAAACCCCCAACUUCUCAAGGUUGACCUCGGAUCAGGUAGGAAUACCCGCUGAACUUAAGCAUAUCAAUAACGGAGGA